rnacentral:lncRNA from 1 species
UUUCUCUUGGACAAGUAUAUAGUUAGUUCCUGUACCAUAUUAUCUCGUGCGUGGGGGGUUCUGCUAUCCCAUCUUAAUGUUCAAAAUUCAUGCAUGGAAGCCUAGUCUGUAAACACUAACAGCUGCAGAUUUAUGAGUGUGGGUUUUCAUAGUUUGGAUGUGAGGUUUUGUGCUAAUUCUAUGAUUGUGGGUUGGCAGGUUAAAUCAUGCGGGUGGGGGCAGGAAGGGUGGAAAACAUGUUGCUGAAUUUGUUUAUAGACGAGGGACUACGAUUGCACUAGUAACUCUGUGUGUGUGUCUUUGGGAAUCCAGUUUCUACUUGUUACCCCUAGUUUCUCCUUUUUAAAGUUGUAUGAAAUGAAAUGGUUUGUGACAUUUUGGAGGACGUUUUAUAUUUGUUCAGAAACCAACCCAGAAUUGCUUAUUUGUUAUACAGAAGCCAUGUGUUGCUGCUGAUGUAUUUUCAUCAUCAAAAAGCGCUCUCUAUCUCUUAUUAGCUAUUAUUUCUAUGUAGAAUGUAAAUCAUUCUCAUCUCACCAUCAGCUUUUACUCUCAAGUAACUGCUGCCUAUCUUGCAUGUGCAUAUGGUUUCGAAAUUAAUAUAAUAUAUGUUUUAUUUAA